GAUGAACGCUAGCGACAGGCUUAACACAUGCAAGUCGAGGGGCAUCAUGAGGUAGCAAUACCUUGAUGGCGACCGGCGCACGGGUGAGUAACGCGUAUGCAACCUGCCCGAUACCGGGGUAUAGCCCAUGGAAACGUGGAUUAACACCCCAUAGUACUUUUAUCCUGCCUGGGAUGGGAGUUAAAUGUUCAGGGUAUCGGAUGGGCAUGCGUCCUAUUAGUUAAUUGGCGGGGUAACAGCCCACCAAGCCGAUGAUAGGUAGGGGUUCUGAGAGGAAGGUCGCCCACAAAGGAACUGAUACACGGUCCAAACUCCUACGGGAGGCAGCAGUGAGGAAUAUUGGUCAAUGGACGAAAGUCAGAACCAGCCAAGUAGCGUGUGGGAAGACUGACCUAAGUGUUGUAAACCUCGUUUAUAAGAGAAGAAUAAGUUCUACGUGUAGAAUGAUGCCUGUACCUUAUGAAUAAGCAUCGGCUAUCUCCGUGCCAGCCGCCGCGGUAA
rnacentral:rRNA from 1 species